AUGUGUUUGAUCCAGGUAGAGCGGAAGCUGACCACAUCAGGGUUGGGGUCUCCCACUUCCACAUCCAGAGAAGGCUGGCGCCACUGGAAACUAAAGCAGGCCCCCCCCCCCAACUCCAGAGGGGCUGGACACUCUUCUCGGCCACAUCAGUCAGCACAGAGAAGGUGGGCUCCACGAUGAAGUCGAUGAACCCUGCGGUGACGGGGGAACAUGAUGGAGAGGUCCCACCCGGAGGGCUGGGCAGAGGGCCCUGCAUGGCUGGAACCCCGGCUUCGGGCCUUCCACCCAGGACCCCAUGCCGCAGCACAGGCUCACUCCACAGGCAGACUGGUUUUGAGGGAUGGAGACAGAGACCCCUGGCCCCGGCCCAGAAAGCAUCCUGGCCCCUUCCCAGGUCUCUCCGCCCAAUAGGAAAGGC